rnacentral:lncRNA from 1 species
AUGUACCUGCCUUGCUCCCGCUCCCUCCUGAGCAUUUCUGUCAUCGUCCUCCCACGAUCUGAAACAGCAGGCUCUCAGCGAGCACGGCUCUGGAAGGGGCAGGACCGGAGGGAUCGGCGGGCGACAACGGAAAGCCGAGAAAAGACGGUGAAGACCCACAACCCAGCAGCCAGACUCCAAGCGGCCCCUGAGCGCCCGCGCCCUUUAGUGACGUCAAGCGGCGCGACUCCCGCCCUGCCUCGCGCGGCGCCGUAUCUGGGGCGCGUCCCUGAAAGCCGGCGGGCUGAGACUCAGGCGCCGGCUGCGAGGUUUACCCUGCCUGCCGCCUUCCGCCUUUGUUUACUAGAGAAGAGCGAUGUUGCCUCCCAGUGCGGCCCCGGAUCCUGGCAGGGCUAGCCGGUGCCUCUGGACUAGGCCUUGGUGUUCGUCGUCCCUUCCCUCCCUGACUGUGUGCUCUAGCUCCGUAGUCGGUGACUUCUUCCUGCUUGAUUGCUGAACUGCAAGUGGCCACGUUACAAAAGGAAGAACUAAGUGUUUGCGAAAGCUGAUGCCCCAGAAGGCACAGGGUAAGAGAUCAGAGGUGUGGGCUGGACUUCGUGUGUGUAUAAAAGCAGCCCAGGUCCUGGCACUCGUCUCAGUCUCAUCCUCCUCAUCAGGCAUGCGAGAGAUUUGCAGUAAAUGGUUUCUAAGAGACCAAAUUGUCACCGUUUGGACCUACUGUAUAGCACUGGGAACUCUGCUUAAUGUUAUGUAGCACCUUGAAUGGGAGGGGAGUUUGGGGGAGAAUGGAUGCAUGCAUGUGUGUGGCUGAGUCCAUUAGCUGUUCACCUGAAACUGCCCCAACAUUGUUUGCUGAUCAGCUAUACCCCAAUACAAAAAGUUUUUUAAAAAUAACAAAUUCUCACCCUUUGCAGUUGCAUAAAUGACACAGCUAGGGCUGGCAUGAACCUGGACAAACCCAGGCAGGAUUGAUUGCUGUGUUCUGUGGUAGUGACCCCACACUUCUCCCAGUGAUUGAAGAGGGACCUCUAGAGUCACGCUGAAGGAACAUAUCCAUCACUCCUCCAAAACUACUCGUGUCCCUUUGUUACCCCUUUUCUACAACCGUUGUCACGUUAGAUUGGUUCUCUUACUGCUGAUUGGUUUGCAGUUUCUAGAGUUGUGCGUAAAUGGAAUCAGACAGUCUGUACCCUUUGUCUUCUUUCAGCAUAAUUAUUUUGAGAUUGAUAUUGAAGAAGUAAUCCCUUUUUAUUGUCAGAGUGGAUAUAUUUGUUUUAUAUCUGUAAUUUGUUUUCCCAGUUACCUGUUGGUGGACAUUGAGGUUGCCUCCAGUUUGGGCUCUUACAAAUAAAACUAUGUGAAAGGCUCUGUGUGGACA